GGCGCCUCUGCCCCAUCUGGGGGACAACAGUGCAUUUGUAGGACAUUUGUCCCAAGUUAGGAAAUCAUGUGAAGGCCUUGAGCUGGGUAGAAACAGAACCCCUGACCCCAGCCUCAGUAGUAGGGUCACCUCACCGCAGCCAAGCUAUUUCUGGAGGGAGGCUGAUAAUUUUUGUUUUCUGGAAGGCUUUUGAUGACCAAGUGUGAUGUUUAAUUUUGUGUGUCAACUUAACUGGGCCAAAGAAUGCCCAGAUAUUUUGUCAAACAUUAUUCUGGAUAUUUCUGUGUGGAUGCUUUGUGGAUGAGGUUUAACACUUAAAUCAGUAGUCAGAGAAAAGGAGAAUGCCCUCUCCACUCUGGAUGAGCCGCAUCUAAUCCGUUGAAGGCCUGAAUAGAACCAAGGGGCUCUGUCUCCUGUGAAUAAGACGGACUUCUUCCUGCCUGAUGGCCUUCCCCCUGGGACACCACUCUUUCUGGUGCUAUAGCAGCCUGCCACUCUCUGGACCCAGACAAGGACUUCGACUCUGCAGAUUUUGGACUUAGCAGCCUCCACAACUAUGUGAGCCAGUUCCUUAUAGUAAAUAUAGAUAAAGUUAUAGAUAUACAUCUGUAUCUUACUAAUUCUGUUUCUCUGGAAAACCCUGACUAAUACAGCAAGUGAUACCCUAUCAGAGAAAUCCUUGAGUUUUAAGUGUGGGAGUCUUGGGAGAUUGAGAAGAGGACAGAGCAGGUACGUGGGGACUGGCAACAGGCCCUGGUGCACAGCGAGGGGACCAGCCCUUGCUGGUUACAGGCUUCUGCUUACCCUGCCAUGGGAAGGAGCUGGCAGCCACAGGUAGAAUUCAAGUCUACCAGGGAGCCCUGGCUUUGCCCAGGAAAUCCAUACCAACUCCUUGGGGACCCUGAACUCAGCAGCUGGGCCUCUCUCUGUGUUGCGCAUACAUCUAGGAAAGAGACAGCGAGGGGGACUGAAGAGCCAACCCUCUGGGCAGUAAGACGCUGGAUGGGCGACAGGCCCCUGAUGACACACACUCCCACUAACAGCCCGUCCACGUGGAGGAUCCUGCUCAGUUCCAGUGAGGUUAUCUCUUCUGCACAGCACUGCCAAGAAGGAGGUACCACUGUGACCUCCAUCUGGCAAGUGGGGAUACUGAGGCACAAAAGAUGCAGCAAUCCCUCAAGGUCACACGCAGGAAGAGAGGCAGCAAACAAGGAUGUGGAGGUGCCCUAGGAAGACAAAUUCUGAAAUCACCCAGAGACCUAGACGUGUGAGCAGCAGCUUCUCAGACCCCCACCCCCGCUGCUCACCAUCACGCCUAGAUGGCCACGUGAUGACAAUCUGUCGGACAGUUGGCCCUGCCUGCAGUGACACAGGCCUGGUCCCCCACCACUCAGAAGAGACUUGUUUCAUCAGAGGCCACCAGGGAGGUCAGUGUGGGAGGCAGAACCCCAGCCAAAGCACCUGAGCAGGAAACAGCAGGACCCCCUCGAAAAACUGCCAACAAUUUUCAGAAACAGCUUGGACAGACCUGACUAUUUUGGGACAGGCACCCAGGAGCCACCAAUGAGGGCAUUUGGGUGCCCAGACACCAGUGGCCUGAGAAGUGCCCGUGUCACAUGUGCCCAGGAGAGCCUAGCCCCAGCCUCGAGGGGCCUUACAUCAGCCUGUGUUCAGCGUCCAAGCUCAGCCCCAAGCGGGCACACACUGUCUUCUUCAUCCUCUGCUUUAGUGACUUGUUACUCUGCUGGAACAUGUGUGUGAGUCAACAUGUUUUUCUCUAUUCAGAAAUAGACUGAGGCUUCUGUGGGAAUCUGGCAUUGUCAGGAGAGGGGACGCCUGGACUGAGCAGUGUGCCACCCACAGGAAAGUGUGCCCAGCAUCUCUGGGCAUCGAGACUUGGGGCUCUGUCAGUGUCCUUCUCAUUGGCCAGGACCAGGGUCAGGGACAGCGCCCUGGGGUAGCCAGCGCCCGCCUGAGGGGGUUGGUCAUGGGGCCUGUUUCCAGAUGUCCUGUGGGCCCACUGACGAGAAGAGUUGCUGGAUGCCCACGCCAGGUGGGGCUCAAGGCAGACACACAGUCAGGGCUGGUGGCCAGUGAUGUCCCAUGGCCCCACGGCCCCACCUGCGUGCUUGGGAAAAGUAGUAGCUUGGAGAACUGCCCGGCUCCCCGGCUGAGUGAGUCUCCAAGAAUGAGGCGGCGGCAUCCGGGCUGUUCUCCCUCUGGUUCAGGCACCAAGUCCCCAGGCAGCUUCAGCAAGGGGCAUCUCAUGACCACCCCAAGCGACCACCACACAGAGCCCAGCCAGGCUCGGUGUGAGCAACCCAGGAGACAAGGAUGAGAAUGGCCCGGGUCUGUCUUCUGCUUCCACAGAAUUUGCCGUCGGGAGAGUGAAGAGCCUUGUAGGUAAAUGACCCCAGGACUGGGGCCUGGAUGGAGCCCUGUAGGUAAAUGAGCCCAGGGUGGGGCUCAGAGGCCAAAAGGGGAUAGGGAAGUGGAAGUAAAUCCCGGGGGUAGCUGCCAGGGCAGAGAGGCAGCCUCCAGGGACAGUGGGCAGGAAGGGCAGCCUGGAGGAGCAGCAGGCAGGAGGGCGGGUCAGUGUGGGGCGGCCAGGCCUGGGCUGCAGCAGGACGGGCGGCCCGGGCCCAGUGGGGCUCCAGGCCCCGUGGGAGGGCUUCCUCCCGGGGCAGAUCUCUCCCCUCCUGGCUGGGUCUGCUGCUCUGCGAAGGCAGCUGACAGCCAGGGGCCCUGCCUUUCUGGCCCCCAUGCUCCAGCGUGUCACCCAGCCCUGCUGGGCAAUGGGGCCCCAGGAACGGGGUGGCCACCCUAACGCUGGGCUCUGAGGGUGAGCUUCCUUCAGUGGGCAGGGGCUGGUGGCCCUCUGAAACCUGUCCACAGUGGGGUCAGAGGCAGGGCAAAGCACAUUGCACUCCCCUCAGUCUUUCCUGGGGAAAUGCCACAGUGACCUUCAGGGACAGACAGCUGGAGAAAAAGACUGUGGCCGCCCCGUGGAUACAGUGAAGGUCCCUGUGCCCGGGAUUCGCACCUGCCCUGGUCGGCUGGCUCACCACACACCCGUGGGCAGUGCGUUGUUACUGACUUUAUGGAAAGAGCUCCUCCCAGUGCUCUGGGCAGCACAGCUGCAGGAGAGCAGAGGCUGGAGUGUAGGCAGCGCUGAGGACGUUGCCUGAGAGGCUGCGGGGCAGGGAGGCCUGGAGGCAGAGACAGGCUUGCUGCGUGCGGACUCGCUCUGAGUGGACGGGAUUCUUGUGCUUCACCUACCACUGGGAGAAAAAGUUGGGUAUAAACCCUUUCACCCCAAGGAUGUUCCACUGUCAUUUUUCAGUCUCACUGAAUCCAUAGUGAGCAUGCCCGGGGCUGAAGCCCACUGGCAGGACAAGCUCACUGUAAGAGUCCAGGAUUCAUACCGCAGUGUCCUGGGCUCUCUGCCCGGGUCUCCAGAGCCCAGGGAGGCUCCCAAGGCCUUGGCCAAGGCUGGAACCACUGCUGACUGCCUGGCUCACUCUGCCUGGGGAGCAGGGAGGUGCUCAGGGGACCCACGUCCCCCGCACCAUGCCUCCUGGCCUCUGUUUCUGCCUAGACUACAGGGCAGUGGCUCCCAGGACCAUGGCCUGCUGUCAGCUCAGGUCUGCCUACCCAGCAGGGCAGCAUCUGGUCCAGAGUGGGUCUCUCUCUGUGCCAGCUUAGCCAGGCCUUUUCAAUAGAGGGCAAGCAAAAAGAGGAAGGUUAACCAUUGCCCCAUUGCAGGGGUCUCAAGCUGCUUUAUGGACCCACCUGUGCACCAACACAUGACGUGAGUGUGGACACAGACACUGCUGUGACACGUCUACAGUGACCCCACUGCCCGCGUUUCAGGGCCCAUCACUAUCACACCCCUUCUGCCCCCACACUCCCCGCCAGCAAGCAAAGUGAGGGGCCUCAGACACCCUUCAGCCCUGAGGCAGCUGAGAACAGACAGCGACCGGAGGGGUCCCUGCAGGCACAGGAGCGUCCUCAGCCGGGCAACACGCUGGAAGGACGGCGCCAGUUUCCGGAAAUCACCGUAAAAAUACAAGUCCUACACAUUGGACCAGCCAAACCCCUCCCAGCUGCCCCCAAACCCUCUCCUGAUGAACCCCCCUGGGAGGCAGGGGCCACUAUGAGCCUUCGGGCAUUUAUCACCAAGCCUGUUCUCCAUAAAAUCAGGAGAAUAUUUCCCACAGGCAAGAUUCUUCUUUUUUUAUGCAUUUGGCAAGAUUGCAAAAGAACAAAGAUGUGUUUCCAUCGUAAAGGAAAAACAAAUCUAGUCCUUUUUCAAGCUUCAGGUGUGAAUAUGCUUACAUGGAUGAAAGACUUAAUAAAAACCCCUUAAGCAGUGAGACGUGCUGACUCAGCGUGUCUCUGCCGCAUCCACAGUGACCCUUCCUAUUCAGAGAAGGUUUUGAUUGUUAAAAGGAAAAUGAUGUAAAGAGUACCUUUUAUCUGAGUUGGUGAAGAUUGGAACUUAAUUGCUUUUGAACAAAGGUAACUGCACGUAUCUAAAAAUAAAACCAUCGAAACAUUAAAAGGAGACCAGUAAAGAGGUCCAUGCGUUAGGGGAGAAAAAGGUGAAAAAAAACAAAAAAGAAAUGGCAGGGCACUGGGUGGCAUCCCUGGCCUGGCUGACUGCCACUGGACAGGGGCCUCCCCGGCCCAUGGUGUCCUCCAGGGUCCCCGCGUCUGACCCUCUGAUGGCCAUUCAGAGAAGUGGGGGCUCCGACAGAGGAGACAGGGGGUCAGAGAGAGGGAGGCGGCCCCACCCCCGGCUCCGGGCUGCGGCAGAGCAUGCUGGCUCCUUCUGCAGCCUGGGGCACAUCGGGCCACAAGGCUGCCCCUUGUGCACACACACCCUCCACACAAUCCAUUUGGGGUUCCCUGGGAUACACAGAAGAACUCUUGGGGUUCAGGAAGCUGAAUUCCGAGCAUACCCUGGCAGUGCUGGGUGACCGGUAUAAGGAAGCCAGCGACACAUAUUUGCUCCACCCACCCCCAUACACACAGGCUAGGUGUGUCCAGAGAUGUCUGGGUCCCUGGAGAAUACAUAGACUGCCCUGGGGAUGGGGGUGAGAGACUUCCUCUCUCAUUAUACAA